GCCAUCGUGGUGUAGCGAUCAGCACGCUGAGCGCAUAUUCCAGAGGUCCGUGGUUCGAGUCCCGGCGAAGGCG
rfam:Stegodyphus mimosarum contig1292, whole genome shotgun sequence.